rnacentral:rRNA from 1 species
GACGAACGCUGGCGGCGUGCUUAACACAUGCAAGGCGAACGGAGAGGCCCUGCUUUUGGGGGGGGCUCGAGUGGCGAACGGGCGAGUAACACGUGAGUAACCUGCCCGUUACUUUGGGAUAACUUCAGGAAACUGGGGCUAAUACCGGAUAGGAGCUUCUGCGGCAUGGUGGGGGUUGGAAAGUUUCGGCGGUUGGGCAUGGACUCGCGGCUUUUCAGCUUGUUGGUGGGGUAGUGGCUUACCAAGGCUUUGACGGAUAGCCGGCCUGAGAGGGUGUCCGGCCACAUCGGCACUGGGGUACCGCCCCGACUACUCCAGGGGGGCGCAGUCGGGAACCUUGCACGAUGGCCGGCCGCCUGAUGCAGGCACCCCGCGUCCGCGAUAAAGGCCUUCGGGUUGUAUACCGCUUUCGCCUGUGACGAAGAGUGAGUGACGGUAAUGGGUAGAGCAGCACCGGCUAACUACGUG